rnacentral:miRNA from 14 species
CUGGGCACUUGCUCUGUGCUCCUGCUGUGGCUGCCUUCCAUAGAUGGUGUCACUGUUCCCUUCAAUGGCAGCAGCAGCAGCAGCAGCAGCAGCAGCAGCAGCAGCAGCAGCAGCAGCAGCAGCAGCAG